UGUGAGGUAGUCAUGCGCUAU
rnacentral:misc_RNA from 1 species